GACGUAGGAGGCGAGCGUUGUCCGGAUUCAUUGGGCGUAAAGAGCACGCAGGCGGUUUGGCAAGUCGGAUGUGAAAACCCGGAGCUCAACUCCGGACCUGCAUCCGAAACUGCCCGACUAGAGGUAGGUAGGGGAGAUCGGAAUUCCUGGUGUAGCGGUGAAAUGCGCAGAUAUCAGGAGGAACACCUGCGGUGUAGACGGUUUACUGGACCAUAACUGACGCUGAGGCACGAAAGCGUGGGUAGCAAACAGG
rnacentral:rRNA from 1 species